rnacentral:lncRNA from 1 species
AUGUAUCUGGCAUUUUCAGUGCCUUUUCCCAAAAAAAUAGUUGGGUUUCUGUUUGUGAAUCAUUCAGAUUUGCAUCAGUUAGAAAGCUGGCUGAACAGUUCUAUAUUUUUGCUUCUUCUGUUAUUUUCCAGUGGUUCACCUCACACCUCUUUUCCUUCUCUCAAUGCCUGUUUCUCACACCAAAAGGGUGACAUUUUCAUCUCCUACUUAAUUUUGUUGGAAUGCCUGAAUCUCUGGACAGAGAGGUCAUCCACCACAGAAGGCCAUCACGUAUGGCACAGCAGGCAGAGGCUUUGCAGAUUAUUCUGGGCAGCUCAGAGGUGGAUCCCACUUACAGGCUGGAACCCCUGGACUUGGAGACCAGCACUCAAGGUGGCUGCUGGGUAAGGAGGGGCUGUGCAGACCUGUAAGCAGAAACACCAGAGCUGCUGGGAGACAAAGGCAAAGAGAAAAACAAAAGGCUGAGAUGAGGGUGAAGCACCAGAGACAGCCCCAUCCUGGCAUGCCAGUAGGCAACUAAAUAAUUGAAAUAUUUGCUGUCAAGUUGCCAUGUUUUCAUAGUGUCCCUUACAAAAACCACUGCACAUUAUGAUGCUAUAAAUCUUUAUUUAUCUACAUCUUCACAACCAGAAGCUUCCCAUUACCCAAAAGAAGGGUGAAUCCCAUGAGACACAUUAAUGGCCAUAAAAACUCCUCCUGUUAUCUUAAACCUUGAUGAAUCAACCUUAUUUAGUGCAUGAUAGUGGGAUAAUUGAAGCUGUCCCUGUAUUUUUUAAAAAGUGCAAUAAGUACUUUAGCAUCUGCAGCUCCAUUUCCUUAUUACACAGAUAUUGGUGCUUCCUGGAAAGCCUUGUGAAAUCCUCUGCUUGGGGACAGUUCCACUGCUCUAUAUUUUCGGGGCACGUUAGCUGGGGGUUCCUGUUUGAAGCAUUUUUAGCAGGAGAGCAGGAUUGCUGCUUCUCACAAACCCAUCUGUUCCUGCUGCUCAUUCACAACCUGAGCCACAGACUCCUGUCAUCUCCCUGUCACUUUGGAAAAUAAUAACUGUGGGAGGACAAUAUAAUGGAUUAUUCACUGGCAUAUUCCUAGAUAUUAAAAGUACAAUUUGGGGGUUGGUUCCAGAAAAAUGGAAAAUUAUUUUAGAUGGGCUUAACAUAAUUAUGAGCAAAUUAGGCCUGAUCCUCAUCUCACUUGGGUCUACAUUCACUCACAACUCGUGGAGCUGGCUGGUAUUUUUGGAAUGUGAAGUCUUCAGUGACAUUUUUUACAACAGAGGUAAUUUGGAGAGAAAAGUUCUGUAAUUUUCCUGGGCUUUUUUUCUUCUUCCUUUUUGGCUUUUUUUGGUUUCUUAUUUCAGCAAACACAUGCAAAAAAAAAAAAAAUUCUUGCAAGAAUUUUCCACAAAGAGAACAACAUUUUGUGUUUUCUUGAGAGC